CGUGUAGGCGGUCGGGUAAGUCAGAUGUGAAAUCCCUUGGCUUAACCAAGGAAGGGCAUUUGAAACUGCCCGGCUUGAGUACGGGAGGGGGAAGUGGAAUUCCCGGUGUAGAGGUGAAAUUCGUAGAUAUCGGGAGGAACACCGGUGGCGAAGGCGGCUUCCUGGACCGAUACUGACGCUGAGACGCGAAAGCGUGGGGAGCAAACAGGAUUAGGAUACCCUGGUAGUCCACGCCGUAAACUUUGGGCACUUGGUGUUGCGGGUAUUGACCCCUGCAGUGCCGAAGCUAACGCAUUAAGUGCCCCGCCUGGGGAGUACGGCCGCAAGGUUAAA
rnacentral:rRNA from 1 species